AGUCCUGUGGUGUAGCGGCCAAUCAUCCGAGUCUUUGGAACUCGGGACCGCGGUUCGACUCCGCGCAGGACUA
rnacentral:tRNA from 1 species